CCCCACCCCAGCAGUGCUGCCCCCCACCCCAGCAGUGCUGCCCCCCAGAUCAGCAGACCAAGCAGCCUUGCCAGCCUCCACCCAAAUGCCUGGAGAAGUGCCCGCCCCCUCAGCAGUGUUAGAAGUCCAAGUAGAAGUAAGACCUCGCUCGACCUGGCACCAGAACAGCUGCAGUUUCCUUCUCAGACAAGGAUCUGGCUCUAAAGCAUCUGCCCAUCUUCGCUGACACACAUCUGCAUCGCCCUGCUGGAAACUCGGGCACCACGCCCAGCACCUUUCCCAUCAUGCUACCCAACCAUUAAAGUAGAAUUCCUCUGG